GAUGAACGCUAGCUACAGGCUUAACACAUGCAAGUCGAGGGGAAACGACAUCGAAAGCUUGCUUUUGAUGGGCGUCGACCGGCGCACGGGUGAGUAACGCGUAUCCAACCUGCCCAUCACUUGGGAAUAACCUUGCGAAAGUAAGACUAAUACCCAAUGACAUCCCACGAAGACAUCUGAAUGGGAUUAAAGAUUUAUCGGUGAUGGAUGGGGAUGCGUCUGAUUAGCUUGUUGGCGGGGUAACGGCCCACCAAGGCAACGAUCAGUAGGGGUUCUGAGAGGGUGAGCGGCUACACUAGAUCUGAGCCGCGAUCCAGACUCCUAUGCUAGGCAGCGGUGGAGAGUCGUCCACUAGGCGCGGAACGCGGGCGUGACACCGCCACGUAGCGUGUGAAAGGCUUCGCAUCGUAGAUCUCUAUUGUUAUGAUAGAAGAAAAGUGUGAGUAUCUAGGCACUUCUUGACUGUACCUUAUGAAUAAGGCACGGCUAACUCCGUG
rnacentral:rRNA from 1 species